AUUGAACGCUGGCGGCCGGCCUAACACAUGCAAGUAGAACGAGUGGCGGACGGGUGAGUAAUGUCUGGGAAACUGCCUGAUGGAGGGGGAUAACUACUUGAAACGGUAGCUAAUAACGCAUACCAUCGGAUGUGCCCAGAUGGGAUUAGCUAGUAGGUGGGGUAACGGCUCACCUGGGCGACGAUCCCUAGCUGGUCUGAGAGGAUGUCCAGCCGCAUUGGAAGGUAGACAGGGUCCAAACUCCUACGGGAGGAAGAGAUGGGGAAUAUGUCACAAGGGGCAGACGCUGUAUGCAGCAAUUCGGGGGGUAUGUAUAAGGCGUUGGGGUUGUAAAGUAGUUGCAGCGGGGCGGCGUUACCCGCAGAAGAAGCACCGGCUAACUCCGUGCCAGCAGCCGCGGUAAUAC
rnacentral:rRNA from 1 species